UACGUAGGGUCCGAGCGUUGUCCGGAGUUACUGGGCGUAAAGGGCGCGCAGGCGGCGGUGCUGGCCCGGCGUGAAAGCCCCCGGCUCAACCGGGGAGGGUCGUCGGGGACCGCACCGCUUGAGGGCGGUAGGGGCUGGUGGAAUGCCUGGUGUAGUGGUGAAAUGCGCAGAUAUCAGGAGGAACACCGAUGGCGAAGGCAGGUCUCUGGGCAUUAACUGACGCUGAGGAGCGAAAGCAUGGGGAGCGAACAGG
rnacentral:rRNA from 1 species